GCUAAACGAGGGCUUAACUGUCUCCCCUUUCCAGUCAGUGAAAUUGAUCUGCCCGUGCAGAAGCGGGCAUAAAAAUACAAGACGAGAAGACCCUUUGGAGCUUAAGGUACAAAACUCAACCACGUCAAGCGACUCAAUAAAAAGCAAAAACUUUGUGGAAUAUGAGAUUUUACCUUCGGUUGGGGCGACCACGGAGGAAAACAAAGCCUCCAAGUGGAUUGGGACAAACCUCCUAAAACCAAGAGAGACAUCUCUAAGCCACAGAACAUCUGACCAAACAUGAUCCGGCUGCCCGAAGCCGAUCAACGAACCAAGUUACCCUAGGGAUAACAGCGCAAUCCUCUCCCAGAGUCCAUAUCGACGAGAGGGUUUACGACCUCGAUGUUGGAUCAGGACAUCCUAAUGGUGCAGCCGCUAUUAAGGGUU
rnacentral:rRNA from 1 species